rnacentral:rRNA from 1 species
UACAGGGGGGGGCAAGCGUUGUUCGGAAUUACUGGGCGUAAAGGGCUCGUAGGCGGCCAACUAAGUCCGACGUGAAAUCCCAAAGCUUAACUUUGGAACUGCGUCGGAUACUGGAUGGCUUGAAUUCGGGAGAGGGAUGCAGAAUUCCAGGUGUAGCGGUGAAAUGCGUAGAUAUCUGGAGGAAUACCGGUGGCGAAGGCGGCAUCCUGGACCGAGAUUGACGCUGAGGCGCGAAAGCCAGGGGAGCAAACGGG